CCUUCGGGUUGUAAACCUCUGUCAGAGAGGACGAAAUUGCUCCGAUUUUAUCGGAGCAGGACGGUACUCUCAGAGGAAGCCACGGCCAACUCCGUGCCAGCAGCCGCGGUAAUACGGAGGUGGCAAGCGUUAUCCGGAUUCAUUGGGCGUAAAGGGCGUGUAGGUGUCCCCAUAAGUCGGAUGUGAAAUCCUUCUGCUCAACAGAAGAAUGGCAUUCGAAACUGUGGGGAUUGAGUACAGGAGAGGAGAGUGGAAUUCCUGGUGUAGCGGUGAAAUGCGUAGAUAUCAGGAGGAACACCGGUGGCGAAGGCGACUCUCUGGCCUGAUACUGACACUGAGGCGCGAAAGCUAGGGGAGCAAACAGGAUUAGAUACCCUGGUAGUCCUAGCCGUAAACGAUGCUCACUAGGUGUAGGAGGUAUUAAUUCCUUCUGUGCCGCAGCUAACGCAUUAAGUGAGCCGCCUGGGGAGUACGACCGCAAGGUUGAAACUCAAAGGAAUCGACGGGGGCCCGCACAAGCGGUGGAGCAUGUGGUUCAAUUCGACGAUACGCGAGGAACCUUACCGAGAUUU
rnacentral:rRNA from 1 species